CAGAAUUUGAUUUUGUUUAUAUUAGUCUCUAAGUUACUGUUUUAUCAUUUUUGUGGCGUUCCUGCGCCCGAGGUAACCAAUUUUGUCAAAUAAUUGUGGCGUCCCUGCUUUUUGGGUGACCCAUGCGUACAUUUUCUAGGAGUUCCUGCUCCUGAGGUAACCCAUUAUGUCAAUUAUUUGUGGCGUCCCUGCUAUUCAGGUAGCCUGAAUAGUAUACUUGCCUAUAUAUAUAUAUUAAAUUAUUAUAACUUUUGUACCGGUAGAAGAUUAUCCAACAGUACACGGCAACAAAAAAUUGACUUGUUCCUAAUAGGUACCAUACAAACAAGGAUAUUCAUUUUAUGUAACCCUUAAUGAAGGUGUACCCAAUCUUAAAAACGACUGACUGAUUGCAAAUAUAAUAUUGAACAUAUUAAUAUUGAACAUGCGUUUAAAAUACAUGUUUUAGUACAAAAAAAGUUGUAAUUAACAUCAUUCUGAAAAAUGUUAUUCAAUAGAUAAUUUAAAUGAAUACAAUUCUACAAC
rnacentral:lncRNA from 1 species